rnacentral:hammerhead_ribozyme from 1 species
AUCCAGCUGAAGAGUUCCAAAUAGCAAGAGACGCGCGUCUUGGAU